rnacentral:tRNA from 1 species
GCCCAGGUAGUGUAGUGGCCUAUCAUGAUGCCCUGUCACGGCAUCGACUCGGAUUCGAAUUCCGACCUGGGCGUCA